GGGGAUGACAGGCUUCGACGGAUGAAGCUGGCAUCGGAUUGCAAGCCGGGAGGCUCCGACCCCGUUAAAUCAGAGCACAAGCUUAAGUGCCAACCGCACCCAUGCUUACGCGGCUCUCCCGCUCGCGGCCUAACCCCCGUGAGUUCUGAGCCUGACUCUAUCUGAUAGGGUCCGUCUGCCCCGAGCGCCUCCAACCGCGCGGCAAGCAGGCGACACAAAAGUUGGGGCGCCACCGGGCCAUGCUCCUAACCCGGUGAAAGAGGAACUUUCGGGUUCCAGGGGCGCGGUCGCUGAGCAACCCUGUCUGCCGGGGAUCAGCGGCUAAGGCUAAAUUGGCGGGCUAUGCUUGUAGAUAUCCCUUGUCGAAUCAUUCGGACGCGGGUUCGAUUCCCGCCAUCUCCACCA
rnacentral:tmRNA from 1 species